CAGCAGCCACGGUAAUACGGAGGGGGCUAACGUUGUUCGGAAUUACUGGGCGUAAAGCGCACGUAGGCGGUUUUGUAAGUCAGAGGUGAAAGCCCGGAGCUCAACUCCGGAACUGCCUUUGAGACUGCAUCACUUGAACGUCGGAGAGGUGAGUGGAAUUCCGAGUGUAGAGGUGAAAUUCGUAGAUAUUCGGAAGAACACCAGUGGCGAAGGCGGCUCACUGGACGACUGUUGACGCUGAGGUGCGAAAGCGUGGGGAGCAAACAGGAUUAGAUACCCGCGUAGUCCCUGUCUCUUAUAC
rnacentral:rRNA from 1 species